AUGGCCACUGGAAUAGCUGCCAUGAUGCUUCGAAGUGUCAUUGAAGUAAGUAUAUCAAUAUAUGAUAUGGAGAUUGAGCAUAGGCCAUACCAUCGCAAUUGCAGUUGUGCACUGCACAAGUUGAAGAGUAUUUGCUCCAAUGCUUGCCCUCCUCAACAAAGGAAUAUUUCAUUCCCCAAGAAAAAGCCUCCGUCUUCUAAGCGGCUCAUCACUAUGUGGAACAAAGAAGACCCGAAUGCGCCAUGUCAUGUAGAGGACAAAGUUUAGAGAGCUUGACACAGCAGAGCAAGAAUAAAAAGGUCAGGAAACUGCGAUUUAGCUGUUUCUCUCUCUCCUCCUCCCCCCACCCCUUCUCUUUCUUCUUGUAAAAUCAUGUCCUACUUUCAUUUACUCUUUAUGACACAAAUUGCACACAAAAGAUACCAAUAUAUGUUGGGCUCAAAUGCCCUUUUGUUGCGUAGAAAGAGUCUCUCAUCUCAGACGUACUUCAUGAAUAUCUGUUAUAUCUCCACAAGCUCCCGCCUUUAUCUUCCUCAUCCUCCUUUAAGAACCAUUCAUCAAACGGAACAAGGAACUCAGUCUCCUUUCACCUAUUACAAUCUCUCUUUAAAAUGUAGACAGGCCAGGCAUGGGGUUAGAGGUUCAACUCCUACACAGACAAAGACAAAGGAGGAUUUGGGGGAUGGUGGGGAGGUAUAUGUUUCACCAAGCACCUACUCUACACACACAAAUAGACACGUAGAUGAUGCAGGGUUCAUAGAUCCUAGCUGA
rnacentral:lncRNA from 1 species